rnacentral:rRNA from 1 species
GUCCCCUACGGGAGGCAGCAGUCGGGAAUAUUGCGCAAUGGAGGAAACUCUGACGCAGUGACGCCGCGUAUAGGAAGAAGGUCUUCGGAUUGUAAACUAUUGUCGUUAGGGAAGAAAGUGACGGUACCUGAAAAAGAAGCUCCGGCUAAAUACGUGCCAGCAGCCGCGGUAAUACGUAUGGAGCAAGCGUUAUCCGGAUUUACUGGGUGUAAAGGGAGAGUAGGUGGCAGAGCAAGUCCGAAGUGAAAACCCAAAGCUCAACUAUGGGAAUGCUUUAGAAACUGCUCAGCCAGAGUGCAGGAGAG